rnacentral:rRNA from 1 species
CAUUACUAGAGCAAAGGAUAGACAGCGCCCGCGGAGCUCGCUCCCGGGGCUACCCUACUCCCGUAGGGUUUAGAGUCGUCGGGCCUCUCGGAGAAGCUCGGUCCUGAACUCCACCCUUGAAUAAACUACCUUUGUUGCUUUGGCGGGCCGCCUCGUGCCAGCGGCUUCGGCUGUUGAGUGCCCGCCAGAGGACCCCAACUCUUGUUUUUAGUGAUGUCUGAGUACUAUAUAAUAGUUAAAACUUUCAACAACGGAUCUCUUGGUUCUGGCAUCGAUGAAGAACGCAGCGAAAUGCGAUAAGUAAUGUGAAUUGCAGAAUUCAGUGAAUCAUCGAAUCUUUGAACGCACAUUGCGCCCUCUGGUAUUCCGGGGGGCAUGCCUGUUCGAGCGUCAUUAUAACCACUCAAGCUCUCGCUUGGUAUUGGGGUUCGCGGUUUCGCGGCCCCUAAAAUCAGUGGCGGUGCCUGUCGGCUCUACGCGUAGUAAUACUCCUCGCGAUUGAGUCCGGUAGGUCUACUUGCCAGCAACCCCUAAUUUUUUUAAGGUUGACCUCGGAUCAGGUAGGGAUACCCGCUGAACUUAAGCAUAUCAAUAAGCGGAGGAAAAGAAACCAACAGGGAUUACCUCAGUAACGGCGAGUGAAGCGGUAACAGCUCAAAUUUGAAAGCUGGCUCUUUUAGGGUCCGCGUUGUAAUUUGUAGAAGAUGCUUCGGGUGUGGCCCCGGUCUAAGUUCCUUGGAACAGGACGUCAUAGAGGGUGAGAAUCCCGUA